rnacentral:lncRNA from 1 species
ACCUUUGCCUUUGGAUCUUUCUUCCCAGCUUCCCACCUGUCCAAGUUCAGACAGGCGUUUGCUCUUUUCCAGAAUCGACAUUUUAUAUGUUGCUCUCAUUUAUUGCAGAUCAUCACGAAAGCGUUGGGACACAGGAGGAUCCAGACGUUGAGACUGGUGAUCCUGAAUAUGAGGUCGAAUACAAAAAUCAGCCCUGAGGAGGGAUCACAUGUGAUCACAACCAAUGUAAAGUCAGCACUUCCACGUUUGCUAUUCUCCAAAAUGUUGUACUUUUCUACCCUUGUACAACUUUGUAUAAAUGCUUGGAACUUGUACCACUUAAGAUUGUGUUAAUCAAGUGUGAGUUUGUAAUUCCUUCAAGUUUGCCAAGUUGGGAGUGGUUUUUAGAUGAGGAUGACGUUUUGGACAGCUAGAAAGUGAUUUCUGAGCAGCUGGAAAGCGAGGUGCAAGCAUCAGAAUGAUGAAAAACCAACCACAGCUCUAAAUGACUUAUACUGAUAGGCUGUAAGCUAAAUGUGGCAUUUCUAAGAAAAAAGCUUGAACAGGUAGCAUCUGUUCAGUUACUGAACUUGCCAAAGCUUGACAAGACUGAUGUUUUGUCACCCACUUUUUUCUUUUUCUUUUUUGAGGCUUUAGAAAAGAUUUAUAGAAGUUUGGAUGAGUGUAUUUCAGGGGUAAAUGUUUGAAAUCAGAUUUUUAUAUUUUUUUCACAAGAGUCACUAAACUGUGAAGUUGAUUUAUUUUUAUUGAUAUCUGUAUACCAUAAUUAUUUUUUUAGUUCCUAUGAUCAGUUCCUGCUGAGAAUACCAAAUUAUAUAUAUAUAAAAUAAAAAUUUCUUUUAUUUUAUUUGAGAUAAAGACUAUAAUAAACUCAUUUAAACACUUUAUUUUUAUUUUUAUACUGCCAGGAUUUUCUGUUCAACGAAGUGGAUGAAAAAUCCCUAAAAUAAAUCCUGUAAUGUCACUUUGCUUAUUAAUAAAGCAACAUUUUGAAGUGUCCCAUUUAAUCCCUGGUGGAUUUUGUCUGCUGAAUAUUUUUCUUCUAAAGUCAGAUUGCAGCUCUUUUGAUCCCAUAUUUGAUUCUCUCUGGAAUUCCCAUUUUUUUGUGAAGUAAUCCCGAUUGCCCUUAUGUAACUUUGACAAAGUUGUAAUGUGGGCUCUGAUUCUCAGCGAAACAAAGCCUAUUUCCCCCCUCAUUCGUUCUUGUCAUUUGAUGCCAGCCAUCAUUUCUAAAGAAAAGUGCCCUCUAGCUCUGAGGAUUAAUGAAAACUGUGAGAGCAAAGUUCAAUAAAGUCUUUUCACCAGCAUAAGGGUAAAUGAUUCAUAGUGAUAGCAACCUGGAAAAGAAAAGUUUAAAAGGAUUUAAACUUCAAUUUUCUACUUUCAGUUUUUAGAAAAAUAGCUUUGUAAAAAUAAAGAGAAACUGUGAGGAACUCUAUAAUUUUAUGUGACUGAUAGAUAUGCUAUUCCCACUGUACAAAUAUCGGGGCAAAAGCAGGCACUGAACUUUAAAACAACCUGAUUUUUUUUUUUAAUUAUCAUUGUUGUAAAAACUGUAAUAUGCUUUUGUGUAUGUUCAUUAAAAUCCUUCCUUUUUGUGGCAGUUAUUUUAGUUGUCAGCAGUCUUUAUUGGUUUUUGUUGAGGACAUGCUCAGAUUCUCUUUGUUUUUUUUUCUCUUUUAGUUUUAACAUAAUUUGUGGAAACAAACUUGGUGAGGUGUGAUGUCCAGGAAGGAAAUUAUGUUUACGCUUUGGGAGGUUAGCACUAACUCCUUCAUUGAUUAGUAAAACCUCUUGGCCGGACUGUGGUCAUUUGUAUGAACCGAUGAGGUCAGUUUGCCUUACUUUUACUUUCAUUUUAGCUUGGUCAUUAUGAAAUUCCCAGGUUUACACACACAGACAUGCUAUGCACCAGGGAGCAGAGUCUUUUAGGAUCUAAAGUGAAAGAAGAACUAGUCAAAUCCUAUUCAUUCUGCAGUAAUUAAAUUUUCCAUAUGUUCCAAAUCUAGCAUGUUAGUAACAGGACAGCUUCAAGCAUUAGGCCUCUUUUCUGCCCUCUGUUGGUAGUAGGAAAGCACAACAUUCACGCCCUUAUUUAGG